rnacentral:rRNA from 1 species
AUUGAACGCUGGCGGCAGGCCUAACACAUGCAAGUCGAGCGGAGCGGCGGACGGGUGAGUAAUGCCUAGGAAUCUGCCUGGUCGCGGGGGAUAAGGUCCGGAAACGGGAGCUAAUACCGCAUACUAUUAGAUGAGCCUAGGUCGGAUUAGCGAGUUGGUGGGGUAAAGGCCUACCAAGGCGAAGAUCCGUAACUGGUCUGAGAGGAUGAUCAGUCACACUGGAACUGAGACACGGUCCAGAAUCCUACGGGAGGCAGCAGGGGGGAAUAUUGCACAAGGGGCGCAAGCCUGAUGCAGCCAUGCCGCGUGUAUGAAGAAGGCCUUCGGGUUGUAAAGUACUUUCAGCGGGGAGGCGUUACCCGCAGAAGAAGCACCGGCUAACUCCGGGCCAGCAGCCGCGGUAAUUC